UGUCUCAGUUCGAGGAUCACUUUAGAGUUUAACAACAAAUCCUGCAACGUUACAAUCGGCCGAUGUAUGGUCCCAGCAGAGACUUCUUACUUGGAUUGGUGUAUUAGCCGGUUAGCUAGUCAGUUGUAUGCAUCUACCCUUACAAAUCACACGAUUAAACACGAACAUCCACUACUGAUCUGCUGCAGAGUCGGUCUGGAGCUUUUGGUACACUGAACAGAUCGACUUUAAUCACACAGGGUCACGUUACGCUUAGCUAAAAUCAUAACAAUCGGUCUGCGCGUAAACACAUAACGUUAAAUCAACAGAUUCGUGAAUGUCUGUCAUAGUCUACUUCUCUGAUCUCAGGCUGCGCUUAAUGACAUCGUGAUUCCUAAAUAGGCGAGAUUAUUUUGUCGCGGUAAACCCAUCUAGUUUGCCACCUAUUCCGCAGCAUCGACCGACACUGAUCGUCAACUAGCCGAGUGUAAUGUUGGCAGUGUGAAUGAAGCACUUCCGGGCCACAUCGCCGUCAAAACAAAAGUCCAUAAACAUAUAAAAUACCUAGACGCCUCAUUUGCCGUUGGAUCCGGAUCGUACGUCAACGGCGCCGCCAUAUUGGUCCGGGCAACUUGCCGUAACUCUCAUAAGUGGACUGAACACAGAUCCCGGAUUCCCUGACUGUUUUGAGGUUUUACAAAUCGUCGUAAAAUUCUAAAGAUUUCUCUGGAAAUGACCUUUCACAUAUCAGUCUUGCCCGGACCAAUAUGGCGGAUGAUAUUGACGUAUCGCAGCAACGGUCCAAAGCGGCCAAUGAGGGACAUCGUUGAGCCAAAGGAUGUGGAAGACUGUGAGGACGCCCCCCUAAGCAACACAACCUUGAAGCAAGAGUGGGAGAACAGGUGCAGGACAAUCUGGCUGCUAAUGUGUCUGCUCUUCAUUCGCCUGCUCUCCAUGAGCAUGACUAAUACAUUUAAACAGCUUAAAACUUUUUACAAUUCAUGCUCAGCAUUCCAUUUCUUGCCCAAUUUAAUUACAUAUGUUUACAAUUACGUUAUUUUUUGUUAUAGCUCCAUUACUUUUGUUGUGUAGUGGACUAAACCACUGAACUGGUAAGCAGAAGGUUGCUGAUUCGAUCUCAGAAUCAGCCGUCGCCACCAGUGUGUUCUUAAGCAAGGCUCUUUACUCUAGGUUGCUCCAGGGUGAUUGGGGGUUCCUGUAAUAAGAGCACUGUAAGUCGCUUUGGACAAAAAAAUCUGCCAAAUGCAUAAAUGUAAAUAAAGGUAAAUGUGAUUUUUGUAUGUGUGUGCUU
ensembl:lncRNA